CCGGCGAGUGGCGAACGGGUGAGUAAUAUAUCGGAACGUACCGAGUAAUGGGGGAGUAACCAAUCGAAAGAUUGGCUAAUACCGCAUACGUCCUGAGGGAGAAAGCGGGGGAGUCGCAAGACCUCGCGUUAUUCGAGCGGCCGAUAACUGAUUAGCUAGUUGGUGGGGUAAAGGCCUACCAAGGCGACGAUCAGUAGCGGGUCUGAGAGGACGAUCCGCCACACUGGGACUGAGACACGGCCCAG
rnacentral:rRNA from 1 species